UCAUUUUUUUUCUUUUUUUUCCCCUGCAUCUGGGGGAGAUAAGGAAAGGAAAAAGGGGAGAGCAAGAACACAGACCACGCCAGGAUUUUCUGAGUCGACUGAACAAAAGUAAUGUCACGAAACUGGGUUAUAUCCCAUGAGAGAGACCAUCCAGAACAACAAGGCAGCUGAGAACUCCUUCAGAGUGGUCGAAGAGGAAAACAGAUUAUUUCAGAGACUGAACAAUGGGGCAUUCUUUUAACUAUGCCCAGAAAGAACCAACGUUAAGGAAAACAGGAGAUGUCUGUCCUUGGUUCCUCGUGGCAUCCUUCAUCAGUGCCUUUAUGGAAUCAAAUGCCCCAUCUUGAGCAUCGACACCAUGCUGGGCAUUGAGGAUACAAACUUGAAGAUGUCAAUACCAAGACUUGCAGAACCAUCCACCAGAUGAUUUUUGCUUAUGUGAGAAAGCUCCUCUACUCAAACUUCUGGUCACUCUGAUAUCCUUUAAGAAUAAACCAUUAAACAUUAUCAACCAGCUAUUGAAAAUGAUGAACUGAUAUCCACUUGUUAGGAAAAAAUGUUUACUUAGUUCUGAAAAUAAACUUACUUGAUACA